rnacentral:rRNA from 1 species
AGCGAACGCUGGCGGCAGGCCUAACGCAUGCAAGUCGAACGAAGUCUUCGGACUUAGUGGCGGACGGGUGAGUAACACGUGGGAACGUACCUUUUGGUUCGGAACAACUCAGGGAAACUUGAGCUAAUACCGGAUGAGCCCUUAGGGGGAAAGAUUUAUCGCCGAAAGAGCGGCCCGCGUUAGAUUAGCUAGUUGGUGAGGUAAAGGCUCACCAAGGCUACGAUCUAUAGCUGGUCUGAGAGGAUGAUCAGCCACACUGGGACUGAGACACGGCCCAGACUCCUACGGGAGGCAGCAGUGGGGAAUCUCGCGCAAUGGGCGAAAGCCUGACGCAGCCAUGCCGCGUGAAUGAUGAAGGUCUUAGGAUUGUAAAAUUCUUUUACCAGGGACGAUAAUGACGGUACCUGGAGAAAAAGCCCCGGCUAACUUCGUGCCAGCCGCCGCGGUAAAAC